GAUGAACGCUGGCGGCGUGCCUAAUACAUGCCAGUCGAGCGAACGGACGAGAAGCUUGCUUCUCUGAUGUUAGCGGCGGACGGGUGAGUAACACGUGGAUAACCUACCUAUAAGACUGGGAUAACUUCGGGAAACCGUAGCUAAUACCGGAUAAUAUUUUGAGCCGCAUGGUUCAAAAGUGAAAGACGGUCUUGCUGUCACUUAUAGAUGGAUCCGCGCUGCAUUAGCUAGUUGGCAAGGUAACGGCUUACCAAGGCAACGAUGCAUAGCCGACCUGAGAGGGUGAUCGGCCACACUGGAACUGAGACACGGUCCAGACUCCUACGGGAGGCAGCAGUAGGGAAUCUUCCGCAAUGGGCGAAAGCCUGACGGAGCAACGCCGCGUGAGUGAUGAAGGUCUUCGGAUCGUAAAACUCUGUUAUUAGGGAAGAACAUAUGUGUAAGUAACUGUGCACAUCUUGACGGUACCUAAUCAGAAAGCCACGGCUAACUACGUG
rnacentral:rRNA from 1 species